CCUACGGGUGGCAGCAGUGGGGAAUAUUGCACAAUGGGGGAAACCCUGAUGCAGCGACGCCGCGUGAGGGAAGAAGUAUUUCGGAAUGUAAAGCUCUGUCAGCAGGGAAGAAAAUGACGGUACCUGACUAAGAAGCCCCGGCUAACUACGUGCCAGCAGCCGCGGUAAGACGGAGGGGGCAAGCGUUAUCCGGAUUUACUGGGUGGAAAGGGUGCGUAGGUGGGAGGGCAAGUCAGCUGUGAAAGCCCGGGGCUUAACCCCGGUACUGCAUUUGAAACUGUCCAGCUGGAGUGCAGGAGAGGUUAGCGGAAUUCCUAGUGUAGCGGUGAAAUGCGUAGAUAUUAGGAGGAACACCAGUGGCGAAGGCGGCUUACUGGACUGUAACUGACGCUGAGGCACGAAAGCGUGGGGAGCAAACAGGAUUAGAUACCCGUGUAGUC
rnacentral:rRNA from 1 species